rnacentral:rRNA from 1 species
GAUGAACGCUAGCGGCAGGCUUAAUACAUGCAAGUCGAGGGGCAGCGCGAGUAGCAAUACUUGGCGGCGACCGGCGCACGGGUUCGUAACACGUAUACAAUCUACCUUUAACUGGGGAAUAGCCCCGAGAAAUCGGGAUUAAUACCCCAUAACAUUGCGAGGAGGCACCUUCUUGCAAUUAAAGCUCCGACGGCUAAAGAUGAGUAUGCGCGACAUUAGCUUGUUGGUGAGGUAACGGCUCACCAAGACUACGAGGUCUAGGGGUUCUGAGAGGAUUACCCCCCACACUGGUACUGAGACACGGACCAGACUCCUACGGGAGGCAGCAGUAGGGAAUAUUGGGCAAUGGACGCAAGUCUGACCCAGCCAUGCCGCGUGAAGGAUUGACAGCCCUCGUGGUUGUAAACUUCUUUUGUACGGGAAAAAACCCCUGAUCGUGUAUCAGGGCUGAUGGUACCGUAAGAAUAAGGAUCGGCUAACUCCGUGCCAGCCGCCGCAGUAAAAC